GCUGUGGCUGGAUUCAAGUAAUCCAGGAUAGGCUGUUUCCAUCUGUGAGGCCUAUUCUUGAUUACUUGUUUCUGGAGGCAGCU
rnacentral:pre_miRNA from 1 species